AGGGCACCACCAGGAGUGGAGCCUGCGGCUUAAUUUGACUCAACACGGGGAAACUUACCCGGCCCGGACACUGGAAGGAUUGACAGAUUGAGAGCUCUUUCUUGAUUCAGUGGGUGGUGGUGCAUGGCCGUUCUUAGUUGGUGGAGCGAUUUGUCUGGUUAAUUCCGAUAACGAACGAGACUCUAGCCUAUUAAAUAGGCUCCCGGCUUUUAAACGCCGGGAGGACUUCUUAGAGGGACAGGUGGCGGUUCAGCCGCACGAAAGAGAGCAAUAACAGGUCUGUGAUGCCCUUUGAUGUCCGGGGCCGCACGCGCGCUACACUGAAGAGAUCAGCGUGCUUUAUGUUCCUGCUCCGACCGGAGUGGGGAACCCAGUGAAACUUCUUCGUGAUUGGAAUAGGACAUUGUAAUUAUUGUUCUUGAACGAGGAAUUCCCAGUAAAUGCGAGUCAUAAGCUCGCGUUGAUUACGUCCCUGCCCUUUGUACACACCGCCCGUCGCUACUACCGAUUGAACGAUUU
rnacentral:rRNA from 1 species